GCCUGGAGUGGAGGCGCACGCCUGUCAUCCCAGCGUCUCGGGAGGCUGAGGCAGGAGGAUCAUGAGUUCAAAGCCAGCCUCAGCAAAGGCAAGGUGCUAAGCAACUCAGGGAGACCCUGUCUCUA
rnacentral:sRNA from 1 species